AGUAUCUGCUGAGUCUGCGGGUGUCUGCAAGGCCCCAAGUGUCAUCUGCGGCUUAGGGUUUCAUGGAUUAGAUUUUAAACGGUGUCUGGCCCAGUUGACAUCAGCCUCCUCGCACGCUCAGGCUCCAAAGAAUCGCGGGCUUGGGAGCUCCCUCUCCAAGCAGCUGCAGCUGCCCCAAAGCACCCCCUCGCUAGCAGAGUGGGAGUCCUCUCCCACCUCUGGAGAAAGGUUCCCCGAGGCUUCCGGGAGCGACUCGGAUGGAUGCGUUCCAGCCUCUGGCGUGAGCGUCAUGUGAUGACCACACUCGGUCGUUCAGGGCGCGAGUGGGGGCGGCGGCCAGUCUGGGAAGGCCCUUCCCGCGCGGCCGACAGCCAGGGCGAGAGCGGAGGCCGCGCACAGCCAUUUAAAACUGCAUGAAUUAUAAACAAGCCGCCUUGGCCUUCGCCAUAAAUUCUGCUCUUUUUGAGCCUGCAAUUAGUGUUAGGAAGCACCGGAGUCUAAACACAACCAAACACCCUCUGAAGGGCCCAAGUGCCCGAGGUUGCAAAGCUUUAUUUAUUUCUCAUUGCCACCCCCUCCGCGGCCCGAGGUUUGCGACCACAGUCUCCUCCUCCCCCGUCACCGCCGGCGGUACGCAGCCGGCUGGGUUCCCGCUCCGCGAGGGAAGGUCACAAUAGCUGCUCUAUCGGCGGAGGCGCCCGCCUCCCCCCUCUCGGGUCUCGGGAAGGCAGAGAAAGGACGGUGGGGGAGGGGAGCUCGGGCCGGCAAUGGCGCCCCAGGCCCAGGCAGCUCCUUCUCCCGCGGAGGACCUGCAGCGGGAAGAGGCACGUCUGCAGCGGAAGGACACCGCCACUCCAGACCGAGGCUUCUUCCCGGGAGCGGCGCGCGGGCUCCGUGGGGAGCUCACCACGGUCUCGAGGAGGCUGCUCGCUGGCCCCUAGCCGCCGCGCGCUGCUGGAUCGAGGGCGCCCGCAGCAGCGGACCUUCCGGGAGCAGCGGCGCCAUUGUGAGCGCGGCUUCCCACGGGCCCCGCGGCCGGGAAGCCGCACAAAGGCGGCAAGGCGUCCGACACCCGCAGGCUUUCAAAUAAGAGGGAGAGAAUACAGAGCAAGUGCUUGCCCCUUGGUGCAACCUCAAGCCUAGUCCCUAUCAGAGACACAUCAGCCAAAUUGGUUUCCCAGGCCCCAGAGGCUGCUAACCUUGCUGAAAAGCAUUUUUUAAAUUUGUAUCUGUAAGGAGUAUUUUAAACAUGGUAAUUAACCAUACUAGUUACUCAUCCCUCUCCCUCCCCCAUUCUGUACCAGCCAACUGACCCUUGAGUGAAGUGGUCUUCUCAGCCAGCAGGCUUGAGCACCUAGGCUCCCCAUCUGUUGAGGUUUUUCAUUAAGGAGGGUGAAGAGGAUGUGUGUGUGGGUGUAUGUUUGAAUAACAAAGGAGAAACCCAACAUUCUAAAAAAGUGUUUCUCUACUUGACCUGGGGGAGCCAGAAGCCUGUUUACACUAUGGAUAUUCAAGGACAACCCAGGCCUGUUUUGACUUUAUCCUGAGGAUUAGUUGAAAUUGUCUCCUGAAGUCAAGAAUGGGUUAAUCCCAGUUACAGAAUCCAGGAAGGUCCUCUUCAUCUGGCAACUCUUGGCAUUACUCUGGUCCUUCUUUCAGAAACU
ensembl:lncRNA